AACAAGGCGUACCUGCGGACCUGCGGAGGGAUCAUUACCGAGUUAGGGUUCUCUGAAAACGAGGCCCGACCUCCCAACCCUGUGUUUAUACCGACCACUGUUGCUUCGGCGAGCCGCCUCGGCCUCUCCUCCGGGAGGGGUGUCGUGGGCGCCGGGGGCGAGAGAUCGCCCCUGGAGAGCGCUCGUCGACGGCCACCAAACCAAACUCUUUUAUGAAACCACCUUCUGAAACCACUUUUU
rnacentral:misc_RNA from 1 species